rnacentral:rRNA from 1 species
UAUGGCGACCGGCGCACGGGUGAGUAACACGUAUCCAACCUGCCGAUGACUCGGGGAUAGCCUUUCGAAAGAAAGAUUAAUACCCGAUGGCAUAGUUCUUCCGCAUGGUAGAACUAUUAAAGAAUUUCGGUCAUCGAUGGGGAUGCGUUCCAUUAGGUUGUUGGCGGGGUAACGGCCCACCAAGCCUUCGAUGGAUAGGGGUUCUGAGAGGAAGGUCCCCCACAUUGGAACUGAGACACGGCCCAG